UGAGGGAAAGGUGAAAAGAACCCUGAAUAAGGGAGUGAAAUAGAACCUGAAACCAUACGCUUACAAGCGGUCGGAGCGAUAAGUGACGGCGUGCCUUUUGCAUAAUGAGCCUACGAGUUAGUGUUGUUGGCAAGGUUAAUACUUUAAGAGUAGUAUCCGAAGCGAAAGCGAGUCUUAACAGGGCGCUUAGUCAGCAGUACUAGACGCGAAACUU
rnacentral:rRNA from 1 species